CCUACGGGCGGCAGCAGUGGGGAAUAUUGGACAAUGGGCGAAAGCCUGAUCCAGCCAUGCCGCGUGUGUGAAGAAGGCCUUCGGGUUGUAAAGCACUUUCAGUGGGGAAGAAAGCCUUGGGGCUAAUACCCUCGAGGAAGGACAUCACCCACAGAAGAAGCACCGGCUAACUCCGUGCCAGCAGCCGCAGUAAUACGGAGGGUGCGAGCGUUAAUCGGAAUUACUGGGCGUAAAGCGCGCGUAGGCGGUCUGAUAAGCCGGUUGUGAAAGCCCCGGGCUCAACCUGGGAACGGCAUCCGGAACUGUCAGGCUAGAGUGCAGGAGAGGAAGGUAGAAUUCCCGGUGUAGCGGUGAAAUGCGUAGAGAUCGGGAGGAAUACCAGUGGCGAAGGCGGCCUUCUGGACUGACACUGACGCUGAGGUGCGAAAGCGUGGGUAGCAAACAGGAUUAGAUACCUGGUAGUC
rnacentral:rRNA from 1 species